UCGAGGGAAUUCACAUGGUGUUUUCUCUUUAUAACAUAUCCUCCCAAUAUUAUUAGGGAGCUAUAAAAAAAUAUUCCAUUCUUUAGGAAUAAACCAUAACACAUUUACAGGUUAAGUUUCAUGCCUUUUCCUCCUCAAUUCCCGGCCUCCAUCCUUGCUAUAAAUUCUUUUGUCACCUUCCCAAGCUCCUCCAUUAAUGUUCAACUUAUCCCUAUAAAUCCUAAAUGAUGCCUACACACUCUCUGCCGAAUUACAGAUCCUUUGGAAUUGUUUUGGUUGGGUUCAAAAAUGGCUUAAAUUUGAAUUUAAUUCAAACUUGAAUUAUUUUUUAUAUCCUUAAAAAUGUCCAAACCAUUUUAUUCAAAUUUUGCCUAAAUCCAGGAUCUUAUAAAUAUUUCCGUCUCAGCCUACUUCCUUCCUGAUCUCCCUGUGCAUUUCUGCUCUUGUUAUUCUGCCUGAAGAAUUAAGUAAAAGAAAUGAGGAGAGAAAGGAAGAGCAGCCCAGCAGCAGACCCCGCAGCCCACAUGUUUCUCUCCCCAGCCGGCCCAGCCCAGUGCCUCAAACGGCCACCUGCUCCAUUUCCCCUCCGUCUCCCUCGCUUCAGACACAGGGAGCUCGCGCCGUCGCGCCGUGAGCUCACGGACGUUGAGGCCAGCACGUCCCCCGCCCCUAGAAAGCCCCGCAGCGAUCCCUAGGGUUUUCCUCCGUCCUCCUCGCGCCGCCAUCUCCCUCUUCCUCCCCUGCUUCCUCUGCUUCGCGGAUAGCAAGUCCACCUCGCCUCGUCAUCCGGCAACCGGCGCUGCCACCGGCGACCAGCAGAUGAGCGCCGUGCCCUUCCCUUCUUCCCUUUUCCCUCGGGAGCCAUGGUCGUUCGAAGCUUCAACUGCUGCCCGCCUCGUCAACAUCCGACGUCGCCGCCCUGGCCUCGGAUCCGUCGGGUCCCGUCCUCCCCGACGUUGCCGGACCUCCUCAACUCGCCGGAGUCCCAAGGCCCUGCGCCAAGUCCCGUCUCGCCGCUGCCUUCACUAGGUCGCCUCCACUACGUCGCCGUCUUCUUCCCCUGCUUCCUCUUCUUCACGGAGCCGAACGCCGCCAUGAUCAGCGCCUCCUCGCGCCGAUGACGUUGUGCUUCCGGCCUCUUCGUCUUGUCCUAUGGGACCCCGUUGCAGGUGCCGAUGAGACCAGUGCAGGUGACGCUACUGAGCUCAAGUGGGAG